GCCACUUUAGCUCAGCUGGUAGAGCGGCUCAUUCGUAAUGAGCAGGUCGUUGGUUCGAACCCGACAAGUGGCUCCA
rnacentral:tRNA from 1 species